UUAGCAGUAAGGAUGGUGGGAUUCAA
rnacentral:piRNA from 1 species